CGCCCGCCCUCCUCUCUCACCUCGCGCCAUACCCUGCGCCUCUGCCUCGCCCGUCCUCCUCAACUCCGUUGUGCCUGGGGCGGCCGGCGAGGAUCCCCUCCGCCGCUCGCUAGGCAGAGAAGCAGAUGGGGGCGUGCGUUUGCAGGAGCAGCGCGCCGCCCAAGAGAGGAGGAGGAGCAGGAGGAGCACGAGAUACCGCCACGGGCGCUUCCUCCUUCCUCUUCCUCCACCUCUGGCCAGGAAGAAGAGCACGAUGAUGUGCCUACCGUUCCCGCCGUCCCCAGCCAUCUUCCUCCACUUCUGGUUGUGCACGCCGUCUCCGAUGUCCUCGGCAAAGGAGGCCACCAGUUCGUGCCGCUCCGCACCGCGUCUUCCUUCUACCCGAGGGAAGAUGCUCAACGGGAAUAGGCACCAGAACGAGAUCUCCACUAGAACAGAGGGGUCGCCUUCACAUCUGACUUGACAUGGAAUACAGGCACCUUGAAUCUUCUUACCUAUGCCAACAAGAUGUUUGACGAAAGUCCUAGCAGGUUAUUCACUCUUUUGUAUAUCUUGAUUGGGCAAAGAUGAAAAGAUGGGACACACAAAUUGUUGGCAUCAUGGUCGCUAUCUUCUUAAAACAGUUUAUGUAUUUGUAUUUGCUGAGAUAAUUUGUGACUCCCUUUAAUAGAGGUUCGCGUUAAUGUCCAUUUUUCCAUAUGCAAGUAAAUGGGAUAAAUCAAGCAUGGGUCACACAGCAAGCUGAUCCCUUUAAGGUGGUAAUCUACCAGGGUCUCAGUCCCCAAUUCCGAAGUUGGAAGCAUUGCAGCCAUCUGCAUCAUUUUUUUUUUGCUGCUAUCUCUCACUGGGAUCUGCAGCCUUCCGAAGUACUGGGAUCUGCAGCCAGCCGAAGUACUGGGAUCUGCCUCAAGUAUACGUGGUUGUUGGUAAAAAUUUCAGGUUGAUUUAAACAAAGUAUAAUGGUUUGUGCCAGCCUAGCGAUGUAUUUUUCAUGUUCAAAGAAUCCCAUUGAUGUGUUCUACAAUGUGUGCUAAAAGAAUUAAAGGCCUUGAAUUGGAUUGUUUGAUUGCCCCCCAUAGUGCACAUGUACACAACAUUUGUUCAUCUGUUCAGGUCAAAACGUCUGCAUUUCAGAUCUGAGUUUGUACACUAUGCCUAAACAUGUUCUGUUUCUUGAUAUUUUCACCGGUGCAUGACUUCACACAGUUUCUUUUAAUUCCUUGUAUGGGCUUGCAUAGCAUCUAAGCUCAAUAUUGGUAAUCAAAAUUAAGGAAGAGCUCUUUUCUUACACGGGGAGGUGGAACCUGGAGGGAGCAGGGUGGAUUGUUGUUUUCUGGCUCAGGAGAUGGGGCGACCAUAUGCGCUACUUAGCGAGAUGUGGGCGCCAAGUGAAGGAAGCGUGAAUAAUGUAGAUGAUGCCAAAGUGAGGCUUCUCUCGGCUCUUUCCGCUGGAUCGUUUGUACCUCCAGAAGAGGCCAAUGAAUCCUUUCCGCUGGCUUCUCUCGACUUAAAGGAUAAUUACCUAAUACAAGCUUAUUAUGUGCUUGAGUUUUUGGUGUUUCCAGCUAACUAAUGUGUGGCUGUUUUGGUUCGUCUCUUUACUUAUGUAUGCCUCCUGUACUACCACUUUUAUUUUCGGUGUUUUCGGCUGACUAAUGUCUAGGUCUUGGCCAUAAUCCAGCCCAGUGACAAAUACUCUGUAACCAUCUUAUUUUGUUCUGCUAAUUUUGCUUCUAUUGUGUUGUCUAAGUUAGAAGCUUAUCGGCUAAUAAGCAUGUUUAUUAUGUGCUUUCAACUAGCUGUUGUGCUGUUCGUAUUCUAGAUGGCUGAUCUUAUACCGGCGCAAUCGCCUUGAUAGACCGGAUUAUGUUUCUAGGGUCUUGCUUUAGGCUUUUAAUUCUAUUCACUAUGUACAAUGUUUGCUCUGUCUUAUUUCUCAUGCAUGCCUCGUUGUUACUCUAAUGUUAGGCAUUGUUCUUUUCUGGUAUGAUUUAUUUUGUUCUGUCCAGGGAUUCUUUUCUGGAAAUAGUAGCUCUACAUGUAUCUGGGAUAUAGAGUAAGCUUCGUGCUGCUUUGUUUCAGGCUAUCUUCUGCAACAGGUGCUGGAGCACAAGCCAAGUGAGAUCUGUUCUGGAGCAUUGUCAUUCUCAAACAGGUGCUGUGACUGCGAUUCAUCUUCCUCUACAUCAACGGGGAAACGUGUACGCUCUAUACCAGAUUAUACACAACGGCCACUUACUCCAGCUGUGGUGCGUGCGCAUGUGCAUGCCAUAUUGCACAGUGCUGGUGUGGCAUUGACAGGCGUAUGCGCUGCAACACUUGAGCAAUGAUCGUGCGCCAAGGUAGUCAACAAAAUCUGGAGGUUGGGGCUUCGCCAUCCAGAAUGACCAGAGUGCGUUACAGACGGCAGGUGUAGGCAAUCUGGAACAUUGCUCUAGCUUUACGGCAGGCGCCUAUCGUCACUCAAAUGGGCGGUCAAACUGUACUGUUUGAGACAGACUCCAUGAUUCUGAAGCAAGACAUUUCAAGCGAGAAGUAUGAUCUCUCUAAAUUAGGUACUCCAUUUAGGAAGAUAAAUUUCAAAAUGAGAGUUGGUCUAAAUGUUUGGCAGAAUUUAAUUGCGCAUGGAAGCUUUAUGAGGAGUGGCCGUAUAGAGACUUGGCUCGGCCAAUUCUUUGAAUUUGUACCAGACACUGCGUGAUGUAGUAAUGGAAUGGACAAGUGUUCCUUUUUAAAAAAUGUGUCUCAGCGCAUGAUUUCCUGUUU